UUCCGAAAGGUUCUGGUAACUAUCGAUUUGGUGGAAACGAGACACAAAUCAAUCCAGCUUGCGAACAGCACGGUUCGAAACCCUGCAAUUCUUUUUAUUUUUUUUUUGAUAUUUUUCUUUUACUUAGAAGCACUCAAGAAGUAACCAUAGGAAAUUUGAGCUUAAACAAUUGAAAGACGUGGCCUGUGGAAUUUUUUGAAGAUUGCGAAAAAUAUAAAAAAAACUUUAAGAGGUGAAAACUCAAACUUUAGGAGUGAAUUUGGGAUUCUAAAAUUAUCGAACCCACCUCUAGCGGAGAUAGACAGAUCCAUAAAUUUGUUCUGAUCGAUUUGGAUAUAUGGAAUGUCAAAAUCGGAGUUCAUAUGCGAAAGUUAUGGCUGUUUUACGAACGGACUCCGAAUUAGAGGACAAAACGGUCCGGAAGUGGGAAAAAUUUGCGGUGGUGGCUAGAAAUUGAUGGAAACGGUGGAAAAAAACACACAAACUGGACUCUAACAAGACCAAAUCGGUAACAAGACCUCGACCACGACACAAACUCAACACUACGGACUGUGAAACUGAAAUAUGCAAAGGUUAUGGCGCGGAUGGGUUGUAGGACAUGAAAACAAUUUGGCACUAGACUUAUGGGACGAACACAAGGACACUCGAAACUAAGGGUACAUGUGAACCUAACUAUACGUCUGAAGCUUUGAUUACCACUUGAGGAGAACAAGGCCCGAUCUUCCGAAAGGUUCUGGUAACUAUCAAUUUGGUGGAAACGAGACACAAAUCAUUCCAGUUUGCGAACAACAUGAUUCGAAACCCUGCAAUUCUUUUUAUAUUUUUUGAUAUUUUUCUUUUACUUAGGAGCACUCAAGAAGUAACCACAGGAAAUUUGAGCUUAAACAAGUGAAGGACGUGACCUGUGGAAUUUUUUGAAGAUUGCGAAAAAUAUGAAAAUAAAGUUUAGGAGGUGAAAACUCAAAAUUUCAGAGGCGAGUUUGGGAAUUGUAAAUUUGUUGCACCGCCUAUGGCGGGGAUAGACAGAUCCAAAAAAUUUUUCUGAUCGAUUUUGAAAUAUGGAACGUCAAAAUCAGAGUUCGUAGGCGAAAGUUAUGGCUGUUUUACGAACGGACUCCGAAUUAGAGGAUAAAACGGUCCGGAAGUGGGAAAAAUUUGCGGUGGUGGCUAGAAAUUAAUGGAAAUGGUGGGAAAAACACACAAACUAGACUCUAACAAGACCUAACCAGUAACAAGAUCUCGACCAGGACACAAACUCAACACUACGGACUCUGAAAAUGAAAUAUGCAAAGGCUAUGGCGCGGAUGGGUUGUAGGACAUGAAAAGAAUAUGGCACCAGACUUAUGGGACGAACACAAGGACACUCGAAACUAAAGGUAGAUGUGAACCUAACGGUAUGUCUGAAGCUUUGAUUAUCACUUGAGGAGAAUAAGUGUGUCCCGAUCUUCCGAAAGGUUCUGGUAACUAUCGAUUUGGUGGAAACGAGACACAAAUCAAUCCAGCUUGCGAACAGCACGGUUUGAAACCCUGCAAUUCUUUUUAUUUUUUUUUGAUAUUUUUUUUACUUAGGAGCACUCAAGAAGUAACCAUAGGAAAUUUGAGCUUAAACAAUUGAAAGACGUGGCCUGUGGAAUUUUUUGAAGAUUGCGAAAAAUAUAAAAAAAACUUUAAGAGGUGAAAACUCAAACUUUAGGAGUGAAUUUGGGAUUCUAAAAUUAUCGAACCCACCUCUAGCGGAGAUAGACAGAUCCAUAAAUUUGUUCUGAUCGAUUUGGAUAUAUGGAAUGUCAAAAUCGGAGUUCAUAUGCGAAAGUUAUGGCUGUUUUACGAACGGACUCCGAAUUAGAGGACAAAACGGUCCGGAAGUGGGAAAAAUUUGCGGUGGUGGCUAGAAAUUGAUGGAAACGGUGGGAAAAAACACACAAACUGGACUCUAACAAGACCAAAUCGGUAACAAGACCUCGACCACGACACAAACUCAACACUACGGACUCUGAAACUGAAAUAUGCAAAGGUUAUGGCGCGGAUGGGUUGUAGGACAUGAAAACAAUUUGGCACUAGACUUAUGGGACGAACACAAGGACACUCGAAACUAAGGGUACAUGUGAACCUAACUAUACGUCUGAAGCUUUGAUUACCACUUGAGGAGAACAAGGCCCGAUCUUCCGAAAGGUUCUGGUAACUAUCAAUUUGGUGGAAACGAGACACAAAUCAUUCCAGUUUGCGAACAACACGAUUCGAAACCCUGCAAUUCUUUUUAUAUUUUUUGAUAUUUUUCUUUUACUUAGGAGCACUCAAGAAGUAACCACAGGAAAUUUGAGCUUAAACAAGUGAAGGACGUGACCUGUGGAAUUUUUUGAAGAUUGCGAAAAAUAUGAAAAUAAAGUUUAGAGGUGAAAACUUAAAAUUUCAGAGGCGAGUUUGGGAAUUGUAAAUUUGUUGCACCGCCUAUGGCGGGGAUAGACAGAUCUAAAAAAUUUUUCUGAUCGAUUUUGAAAUAUGGAACGUCAAAAUCAGAGUUCGUAGGCGAAAGUUAUGGCUGUUUUACGAACGGACUCCGAAUUAGAGGAUAAAACGGUCCGGAAGUGGAAAAAAUUUGCGGUGGUGGCUAGAAAUUAAUGGAAACGGUGGGAAAAACACACAAACUAGACUCUAACAAGACCUAACCAGUAACAAGAUCUCGACCAGGACACAAACUCAACACUACGGACUCUGAAAAUGAAAUAUGCAAAGGCUAUGGCGCGGAUGGGUUGUAGGACAUGAAAAGAAUAUGGCACCAGACUUAUGGGACGAACACAAGGACACUCGAAACUAAAGGUAGAUGUGAACCUAACGGUAUGUCUGAAGCUUUGAUUACCACUUGAGGAGAAUAAGUGUGUCCCGAUCUUUCGAAAGGUUCUAGUAACUAUCGAUUUGGUGGAAACGAGACACAAAUCAAUCCAGCUUGCGAACAGCACGGUUCGAAACCCUGCAAUUCUUUUUAUUUUUUUUUUGAUAUUUUUCUUUUACUUAGGAGCACUCAAGAAGUAACCAUAGGAAAUUUGAGCUUAAACAAUUGAAAGACGUGGCCUGUGGAAUUUUUUGAAGAUUGCGAAAAAUAUAAAAAAAACUUUAAGAGGUGAAAACUCAAACUUUAGGAUUGAAUUUGGGGAUUCUAAAAUUAUCGAACCCACCUCUAGCGGAGAUAGACAGAUCCAAAAAUUUGUUCUGAUCGAUUUGGAUAUAUGGAAUGUCAAAAUCGGAGUUUAUAUGCGAAAGUUAUGGCUGUUUUACGAACGGACUCCGAAUUAGAGGACAAAACGGUCCGGAAGUGGGAAAAAUUUGCGGUGGUGGCUAGAAAUUGAUGGAAACGGUGGGAAAAAACACACAAACUGGACUCUAACAAGACCAAAUCGGUAACAAGACCUCGACCACGACACAAACUCAACACUACGGACUCUGAAACUGAAAUAUGCAAAGGUUAUGGCGCGGAUGGGUUGUAGGACAUGAAAACAAUUUGGCACUAAACUUAUGGGACGAACACAAGGACACUCGAAACUAAGGGUAUAUGUGAACCUAACUAUACGUCUGAAGAUUUGAUUACCACUUGAGGAGAACAAGGCCCGAUCUUCCGAAAGGUUCUGGUAACUAUCAAUUUGGUGGAAACGAAACACAAAUCAUUCCAGUUUGCGAACAACACGAUUCGAAACCCUGCAAUUCUUUUUAUAUUUUUUGAUAUUUUUCUUUUACUUAGGAGCACUCAAGAAGUAACCACAGGAAAUUUGAGCUUAAACAAGUGAAGGACGUGACCUGUGGAAUUUUUUGAAGAUUGCGAAAAAUAUGAAAAUAAAGUUUAGGAGGUGAAAACUCAAAUUUUCAGAGGCGAGUUUGGGAAUUGUAAAUUUGUUGCACCGCCUAUGGCGGGGAUAGACAGAUCUAAAAAAUUUUUCUGAUCGAUUUUGAAAUAUGGAACGUCAAAAUCAGAGUUCGUAGGCGAAAGUUAUGGCUGUUUUACGAACGGACUCCGAAUUAGAGGACAAAACGGUCCGGAAGUGGGAAAAAUUUGCGGUGGUGGCUAGAAAUUAAUGGAAAUGGUGGGAAAAACACACAAACUAGACUCUAACAAGACCUAACCAGUAAAAAGAUAUCGACCAGGACACAAACUCAACACUACGGAAUCUGAAAAUGAAAUAUGCAAAGGCUAUGGCGCGGAUGGGUUGUAGGACAUGAAAAGAAUAUGGCACCAGACUUAUGGGACGAACACAAGGACACUCGAAACUAAAGGUAGAUGUGAACCUAACGGUAUGUCUGAAGCUUUGAUUACCACUUGAGGAGAAUAAGUGUGUCCCGAUCUUCCUAAAGGUUCUGGUAACUAUCGAUUUGGUGGAAACGAGACACAAAUCAAUCCAACUUGCGAACAGCACGGUUCGAAACCCUGCAAUUCUUUUUAUUUUUUUUGAUAUUUUUCUUUUACUUAGGAGCACUCAAGAAGUAACCAUAGGAAAUUUGAGCUUAAACAAUUGAAAGACGUGGCCUGUGGAAUUUUUUGAAGAUUGCGAAAAAUAUAAAAAAAACUUUAAGAGGUGAAAACUCAAACUUUAGGAGUGAAUUUGGGGAUUCUAAAAUUAUCGAACCCACCUCUAGCGGAGAUAGACAGAUCCAAAAAUUUGUUCUGAUCGAUUUGGAUAUAUGGAAUGUCA
rnacentral:lncRNA from 1 species